UACCAGCUCUCCGAGUGGUAGGGAUGAUUAUUGGGCUUAAAGCGUCCGUAGCCGGCUUAGCAAGUCUCCUGUUAAAUUCAGCGACCUAAUCGUUGAGCCGCGGGAGAUACUACUAGGCUAGGAGGCAGGAGAGGUCAACGGUACUUCCGGGGUAGGGGUGAAAUCCUAUAAUCCCGGGAGGACCACCAGUGGCGAAGGCUGUUGACUAGAACGCGCUCGACGGUGAGGGACGAAGGCUGGGGGAGCGAACCGGAUUAGAUACCCGGGUAGUCCCAGCUGUAAACGAUGCGAGCUAGGUGUUGGGGUGGCUACGUGCCACUUCAGUGCCGCAGGGAAGCCAUUAAGCUCGCCGCCUGGGGAGUACGGCCGCAAGGCUGAAACUUAAAGGAAUUGGCGGGGAGCACCACAAGGCGUGAAGCUUGCGGUUC
rnacentral:rRNA from 1 species